GGGGGGUUAGCUCAGUGGGAGAGCUCCUGCCUUACAAGCAGGCUGUCGUGGGUUCAAAUCCCUCACCCCCCA
rnacentral:tRNA from 5 species